rnacentral:lncRNA from 1 species
CGAGCGGCCCUGCUGGCUCCGUAGCUGCAGGACUUUCUCCGUACGGAGCAUUUCGGCCGAGACACGGCUCGGCCAGGCCCGGCACGGCCCCGGGCUCGCCGCCCGCCUGCGCACGGUGCGAGAGGCGGUGCUGCAUGGAGAGGGAGGGACGGAGAGGAGCGGAGGGGAGGGACGGGAAAGCGGCGGGAGGCGAUGCUGGGGCCGGCCUGAGGGAGCGGUGUGGAGGCGGAGGGACUGGGCUGAGGGGGAGCUCUGAGGGGUGGGCGGGAGCGGGCUGAGGGAACCGGGCUGAAGCUGAGGGGAGUUUCUGAGGGAAAGGCGGGAGCGGGCUGAGGGGAAAUUCUGAGGGAGAGGUGUGGAAAAGCUGAGGGGAAUUUCUGAGGAAAAGGCCUCCUGUUACAAGGGCAGAGAUGAUUUGCGUUGGACGCACUGGGAGACUGGAAAGGCUUCGGAGAAGAACAAGAAGAAGCUGUCUUGCUAUGCCUAAACUAGUCCUGCAUAAAUGCAUGUGUGUGAACCUCCAUGGUCGUUCAUGGCAUCUCUCAGGAGCAGACCCAGAAUACGUGGCGCAAACUAUUUGUCCUUACGAGGAGAAAAGACUGGGAAAGAGCCAAGGCAGUAUGUCACUGUAUGUUCCUGUUUAUUCUACUUGCUUAUUUUUCACAUAUUUUAUAAAAUGUGUAUCUCCAAUGACUAAUACUUCUGAGUAACCAAUUGGUGCCAGUAAAUGGAAGUACCAUCUGUAAGAAACUGAUUUGUAGAAGCCAAGUUCUCAAACAUAUGAGGAGGAGGAGGUGUUAUAACUUAGUGAGAGACGACUGAAGUGUGGACUUGGUUUUGGUAGUCUAGAUGAUUUUAGAUGCGUUAUGUAAGCAGGAUGUGAAAGGAAAGGGGA